GGUCCCCUAUCCUAUAACUCAUUUCAACAACCAGAAGGCAAUGCCCAGGUGCCUGUUGAACCCUGAACACUGAGCAUUUCCCCCUCUGCCUGCAGAGGCUAGUUUCAAGCCAGCAAGUACAUUUCCAGGAAAAACAUCUUUAUUAAUGUAACCACCGUCCUGUGGCCUCUUUUCUGAAGCUUGCUGCUGAGUUUUUCAAGAGCUAUAAACAUCCAGAUGUCUCCCAUCUCAACCGAGAGAGCUUCCUGAAGAACUUUCCUAGCUUGCACUUUUGUGGUUCAUAACUGUGACAUGAAACAUCUUUUGGUGGAAAAGUAAGUCCCUUCAUGUGACCAGCAGGCCAAUACUCUGUGGAUCAUUAGGCAGCCCAGCAUAGGAGCAUUGUUUUGAGGAGCACAGUGGAGGGUACGGUAGUGGACACUUGUGAUCUGGCACAUCCUAAAUACUGAAUACUUGGAUAAUUUAUGCUUAUGCAUACAUUCCUUGGUGAGAGGACAAAACAAAUCUGGUAAUGUUUCUCUUAAGCAAGUCUCAACAAAAUCAUAGCUCUUGCUUGACAAGUAAUGAGGCUGCUGUUUUUUCUUCUUUUUUGAAGGUUUGUUACGAAUUUUUGUAUCUUGGGUUACUGCCCUGGGGAAUGGAAUAUAAUUUGAGUGACUGAACAUACUGUCUUUAUUUUGACUUCCAGCAGGGUUGGGUCUAACAAACAAAGAAGCUUCCAUGUGAGCAGCCCAGAAAAGGGUAGCCUUUUUCAUCCAAGUGAAUUGUGCAGCGGGAAGGAGAUCUACAAACAAUUAAAAACCCUGGUGAUGACUGCAAGCUGCACUUUCUUAUUAUGGUGAUGGUUUGUGUGCUCCCUUAAUCUUUUCAUGGAAGGCUUUCUCAUACAGCACAGAAAUCCUCGCCUGUAGCAGAAAGGUCAUACAAGUGAAGAUGAGGAAGACCCUGGAAAGCUUCAGCAUGGGUGAGCCAUCAGAGCAACCUAUGUGGAAGGGCAAGGGGUCUGUGAAGGGUAACUGGACACUCAGGCCACCACACGUGAAUUCCCCCCUGGAGGGGUGUGACAGACACAGAGGGAGAGCUCCAUUCUUGUUGCAGUCACUCUGAGGGAGAGUUUCCCAACUUCCCUCCUCCAGCUUCACACCAAGACCAGAAGAUGCAGGACCCCAGUAGACCAAGCAUCUCCAGCAACCUCGUGGCUGCAGAUACUUCUGGAACUGAUGGCUGAUAUUAACAAAUAUUUAGGAGAUUAAAAAAAACCCUCUGUGUAUAAACUUGGAGCUCAGUGAGGUAAAUGGGGAAGAUGGAAUUCACAAACAUAGCUGCAAAUCCCAUCAACAGUUAAAGACAACAGGUCUGAAACGCUCCUCAAUGUGUCUGAAGCAGACUGCACAAACACAAAACAGUCACAAAAUGACAUUUGCAACUUAGAGGCAAGAAUACUUACAGAAAUUAUUCCAUUUGAGCAAAUUCGCCUUUGCCAGAAAGACCCUACUGAGUCACUUGAAACUUCAUGUCUGACAAGGGAGAGGGAAAACCAGCGAAGCAUAGCCCCAGGUAACCAGAAUCUCUUGGUCAAGUGCAAGAGCUGGGUUGUGACAACAAAAGGGGCUGUUACGUGGCAACUGAUGAAAAGCAGGAGCAUGUUUGGCUUACAGCAGCACUAAAGUAAACAGGAUCUAGGCUGCUGGCACUGCCCCAGGUAACUGCUGCUCCUUGUCUGGUGUCACCUCUCGAGCUGCCAUAAGGGAGCUGUUGUUCCUGAGGAUCCUGUUGCCCACCCCAUGGGGAUGGCCUGGCUUUUGUCUUGUGGUUCUUUGAUGUGCAACCCCAUUUGGCCAUGGCAUCACAGCACAUUUUGGCUGUAACACCACACCUGAUGGAGGGCACACCCACAACUGCUCACGGAUUCCCCAGUCUGGAGAUAAGUGUUGAAGCCCAGAUUCACUGAGUGACGGAAGUCGUUCUCCAUCACCAUCCCUUCCUCAUCACUGCACAUCUCUUCAUCAUUUAUUCAUGUUGCGAGAAAUAAUUUUUUAUAUACUUCUCAACUGAAACUGGCACAUUCCACAUACUAUUUUCGUCACCACUUUAAUAGAUGAUGCUUCAUGCCUUUUGAGCUUUCAUAAAGGUAAAUACAUUUCUUAUGUAUGGGGUAGCAUACAGAACAGACAAAUAACCAGCUUAUAUUCAGUUAUUGUCGCGUGACUGAACGAAUAACCAGAGAAAUCAAUCAUGGCAGGAAAUAAAUGAAUGAAAUGGAACUUACAGGAAGAGCUACAUCCAAACUGCCGAGCAGACGGAGAGUGUGGCAUGGCUCUGCUUUCCAGACACCUGCCAUGAGGUGCUCUGAGGGGCACCUGAAGCCAGUCCAAGUAUGGCAGCUCACAUUUGGAGGUUCAGAGAGAUUUGGGUCCAAGGUUUUGAUACACUACCUCAAAAAUCACUUCUCAGUUGCUGAUUUUCAUACCCCAGUGCAUGCUCAGAUUUCUGAAGCUCGUUCUGCUCAUGUAUAGUUCAAGGUGUUGAAAUUACUUGCAACCUCAUUGUCCAUUAUAAAGUAUUUUGCUUAUAUUCAUUCAAUAGCAAAAACAUAUGAUAGUUCUAUAUGCCUCUCAUCUGACAGCUCUUUUGCCAAAUGCAGAUUGGCAGACCAAGAUCUUGGCUUAGGAAAACUUCCCAUCUGAUUAAAACAAUGGUCACCGUCUCUUCAGCUGCUUCUGUUAUGAACAAUGUUUUGAGAAUGUGUCUCUGUUCCUGUUUAUGUAGCUAUACAAAUGCAUGGAAGCCAUGAGUUAACGUGUGAUAUGUCAUAGAGCCUGUUGUCAAAGGAUGCUUCUUUUCUGGUCUUUUGGGGAAAUGAGUCUCGUGUACAUGAGAACACCUUCUUAGUCAGACAAAGAGGAAGCUGCCAUGCAUGUGGUGUUCUGCAGGAUUUCAUGUAGCGCAGGUCUGCUUCUCAAUAUAGCACUUCCUUCAGACUUCUCCGGACAGUGGGAUGUGAGCGUCUCCAUUUUGAUAUACAGCAAAAUGCUGUGUGAGUUUGUCAAGAAAAAGUAAGGACAAGGAAAAAAAAAUCCUAGGAAAUGGCUGCAAUAUAGUCUUGUUUGCACUGGUAAAUUAAACAGCAGCAGGCCAUGGGCUUCAGCACUGCUCCUCCAGGUACCCAUGCAGCCUAUUGGUAGCAUUUUCCAUAAAGAUGUUUGGCCAAGUCAAUCCCCUACACAGUGGCUGGAUACAGUUCAGAGGUUGGAAUGUGCAGGGACAAUCCCAGCGGAAAUUUGGACUUGGCAACACUGGGGAUUUUUGAAAAGCGGAAGGAGAGGUCAUGGUAUUCAGCUGCCUGGAUAUGAACCCUACCACUUUGCUUCCAAGCUGGAACCAGUCCCUUCUCCAUUUUGUGUUAAGUACAGACAUAGCUUAAGGACCUAAAACUUUUGAGAUUUGUAUUCCUAGCCCUUAGAGAGAUUUUUCUUUUAUGAUAUGCAGCUUGUCAUUGGGUUUUCACUAAUUGAGAACCCUGUUUACAGAAAGUUGUCUUCUGUCAGUUUAGUGCUCAAGGACGAUCGUGCAUUUGUGAAUGCACUGAAAAUUCUAAGAAAAAAGCACAAAAUGUUAGCUUGCUCUUCCAGUCUUAAAGAUGUUAAAAGUAAGUCAAGUCUGAAAGCUGUACAUACAGCAUUUGAUUUACUGGGUAAUGAAAGUAACAGCUUCCUGUGGGGUUCCCUAGCAACCCCCAGUGACAGACAGGAUUUGGACAAGGUGGCAGUGAAGGUAAUUUCUGGGGAUGGUCCAGACCAGUGAGGGAGAGGGAUUAAGAUCCAGGUGCUCAAUUUCCCUGCUCCCUCCUUGCCACCAGAGACACCACAGCCAUGGAGAAUCCUUGCCCUAGUUUCUCACUCAAUAACUUCCGUGCUGUCACCAACGAAGACCAAGUCUUGAAACUCUUGUUUGUUUGUUUGUUUUUUUGCUCUGUUAUUAUUUUCAUUUUAAGCCCUCCUCGGUGACAGAAAUAAAGUCCCUGGUUCAAAGAGUUCACUGAAAGAAUGAAGAGGCAAUACAGAAACUAGGAGGAAAUUGAUGAAUUGAGAGGAAGGAGAAGAAUGUCCCGCAGCCCUUCGGUUAUGUCCUCUUGACAGCUCUCCUGCAUUCUUACAUACAGAUGGCCAUCAUGGACAUCGUAAGAAUCUGGUGUAUUAUUACCACCGUAUUACUGCAAUAGCUGUCAGACCCAUGAAAGGUGUGAGUUUCAGAGAGGAGAGGAUAAGAAUACAAAAAGCUUUUUCAUGCUUGGAGUGCUGCAAAAUGGAUGGCAGCAGAAUGAGAGUGGGAAACAAAAUGAAAAGAUGCCAGUGGCUUUAUUUGGAUGAAGUGCUGGAAAGGGGAGACCAGAAGCAUAUUUUCAGGAGCAGGGAUGCAUAGGGUCUUGAUAGAGAAAUUGAGAUGUUUGAUUGUUUAAGCUGUGUGCUGGAAGGAACACAGGGUGGGAACAAGAGGAGGCAGACAUGUGGUGCAUUCAGUCUAAUGGAAUCUAUUCCUUCUCCAGAGGGGGGUUAGCAACUGAGAAAUUAUUUUGAUCCAAAUGUGUAUGUUCCUUUCUUUCUAUCGAAUAUGCUGCUGAAAAAUCCCACUGUCUACAGGAUUAUUAAGAUUUCCUUCUUGCAGCUUCAUUUAUAUUUGCUGUAAGUCUCUGUCCCUGUUGCACAGUUCAGUCUCACACAACUAAUCUUGGUGCUGCUCCAAAGAGAGCCAAAAUCAUGAAUUUAAAGGUGAGAUGGCAGCAUCACAGCUUGUAUCCUAUUGUAAAUGGCUCCUAUCUGACCAGCCGAAAGGCUGCGUCUACCAUCAUCCAGCAUGCCACUUCACAGGAUGGGGCAUGUCAGGCAGGCAUAUGUCACACAUGUCCUGAUGGGUCCUGAUGGGCAGCAUGCUGCCCUACAAUAGCCCAGCAUCCCAGUGUCUCCAUGCCCUGGGACCUCUCAUGUCAGCCUUCUCUCCUAAUCACGUGCUAUCCCUUGCAUCAAGCAAAAAGAAAGUUGACAGCACAGAGGAAACAGGAAAACUUUCAGGCUUCUACUUCCUCCACUGAAUUAAUCAUCUCUGACAGUUUUGUGGCUUCCUAUGACCCUUAAGUUUUACUGUCUGCUAGCACAUCAGGCACUGAUUUCCCUCUUUCUUUCCCCUACAGCAAAAAUUACAAUGAUUUUUCUCAAAGCUGACAGGGACAGGGCUUAUUUCCAGUAAAAGGGCACCAUACUUAGCUACACAGGGUAAGUGAGGUUAGAGAAAUAGGUACAUGGGAAUAAUGACAGCACCGAGGGCAGCAGACUUUCAAUUCACUUAUACAGAUAAAUGUAACAAGUUCAGACACUAACAUUUUUUUUUUCGUUGCUCAAAAGAAAAAAAAUAAUUCACUACUUGCUCUGUUUUCUCUCUGUGAGCACUCUCCUAUUCUUCUUAACCUCUGCACUGCAGUGCGGCUAGGCUGUGGACAUGCAGAUACGCUCCCUGCCCUGGGGAAGAUCUGAGAUAAGCAGAGAAGCGACACACAAAUGGCAAGGAGGAGAGAGCGAUCUAAUCGAUUGGCCACGAGCUUGGUACAGUGAGAUGGGAAAAGCACACAGAGCAAAGGAAAGCAGGUUUCCACUGGGAGACAUGUGCUGCUCUCCCCCUCCUUCUGUUCGCCCUUGGCUUUUCACUCCCUUCUCCUUUGAGCCUUCUCUGUGCUUCCCAGGCUGAGAUGGUGCUCAGGGAUUGCUAACAUGGGGCCUGUGCAGGUUUGGGCUGGUUUGCCUGCUUUCUUGUUUAGUUUGCUGCCUGUCUCUGCCUCUCCUUGUCGACCUCAGCUAGGCACACAAUGCUGGCUGCUCCUUGCUGAAAUUGGCUCCCCUUCUGUUUCUCUGUCUGUUGAAUACCUAACACCUGAUGAUUGUCUUUGGAGUUUGACAUUUUCAAAUAGCUUCCAUAUUGCACACAAAGAUGAAAAAAAAUUGGCCUUUUUCCCCCCCUCCAUCUCUCCUUUUCUCACCCUUGCCAGGUGCCAAAUCUGAAUGCCGCAAUAACAAAGCAUUUCCUGCACUCACUCCCACUUUGCUGCACUGCACAUCUGCAGGUGGGGUGAGAGAAUGCAGAGCUAGAAGUAACUCCCCAUGCUGAAACACUUUGAUUUCAUACUUCAGAUUCCACCCAGACCUCUGUUUUUCAAGCUCCUUUUUUUAAAACAAUGAAGUUGAAGAAGAAAGCUGAGUGCCUUUGUUUCUGGACAAGCUAGAAAUCCAGAGAUGAGGCCAAAUCCGCCUGAUGACACUGUGCAGUCACAGCAGCAAUGCGGUUUUGGAAGUGUGAGCCAGUGGGAAGCCAGGAACUUGGCUGCGCAUAUCCACUCCUCUGAGCCCUGUCUCCAUCUCCACUUCUCACCACCAGACCCGAGGAGAGCUGUCAGACUGCAGAUCCCCACUUCACACCUCUCUGAGACAAGAGCUGGGACAGGGCACCGAGCUGCAUGCCCAUCCCUGGCUCCCACCCAGAUUGCUGUGCAUGGUUGGGUGAGUUCUCAGACCCUCCAGCACCCUGCGCUUAACACAGCUCAUGCCUUGUCUCUCAGGACUUCUCUGCAGCAGCUCUAACUUCUUCAGUCUGUAUUCAUCCUACUUAACUUCAUGCAUGUAACUGAAGUGGCUGGUAAAUGGCUCGUCCCUCUUAGUGUCUCCAUUUGUGGUCACUGGAAGUCCAUACCACCUGCUGUAAAGGUGUGGGGUCUGGGGCAUGUAUGGUACAAAAAGAAAAAAAAUAUAUAUAUAUAUUAGCAAUAGUGACUUCAGAUUUGGACUGCCUUCAAACAGAUGUGAGAAAUGUGAUGGUGAUGGCUUCAUAUCUGUCUGCUGGGAGGACUUUUUAUCCACAAUGAAGCUCUUCCCAACCACAAUUUAAUUGCAAUAAACUGUAUAUUCUCCGAGUUCUCAGAGAAGAAGAUGGAUCUGUUUGUGGCUGUGCAGAGAUAAUUCUUGACACCACAUUGCACUAAAAGCAUUGUUUACCUUCCCAGGGCACGGAUAAUAAAGGAUAAAGAUUUUUAAAGCAACUUGUGAAGAGGCUGCUUCUAAACCAUCCAGCCUCAUUAAUUUAAACCCAGAAAGCUUGAAAAGGCCAUCUUCAGUGACUCAGCUCAAAAACCCAGAGAUUUUAGCCAAGGAAAGAUCCUGGAGAGGUCAGUGGGCUUCAAGCUGAGGCUAGGCCUCAGGGCUAAAAGCAGGCCGAGGUGCUUUGGCAGGAUGAAGCCCUCCUGCCAGGCCCAACCAAGUGACCUGAUUUUUUUGCAGGUCUCUGCAGGGGAAAUGUGUGCUCUUGCAGCUCAUCCCCUCCCUCCCAUUACAUUAAUUCCAGGGCUCUCACAUCAUACUUCACAAGGAAAGGAUUUUGCCGCACUGCUGAGAGCUUAGGAAGCCAAACCUCACAGCCUGGGCAGGAGCAGGGCAACAGCCAUGGCUGGUGCCAGGCAGUGACACUCCUUGGUUGUUGCUUUUCCCACACAGCUGGCUGAAGACAGGAGUAGAUUGCAGGAAAUCUUGUCCUAUACCCAGCUCUGGCCUUGCUAUGCAAAUGCGUGCUCAUUACCUGAUUUCCAUUCUCCACAACUUCCUCCUCUGUAAUGUGCAGUUAAUAUUUAUACAUACUUAAUGAUUGCAGAUUUUGUGUGUACACACUUCGCUGCGGUUCUGCAGAUUAGUUAACCAAAGUACGGCCAGAUUCUGCCAUGCCUACAGAUGGGUAUGGCUGCAAAUAGGGUUGCAACUUACCCAGUGCAGAGGGCUUGGGGAAUGAAGAUUAAGCUGAAUUUUUGAACAAAGUCUUCAGUGCCACAAAAAUGUAUAAUCCAGAGUAUAUUAAUUCAGAGCAGGAGAUUUGAUAAAACAAAACGUCACAGUAAAAUACAGAAUGGGCAUGCUCACAGGAGAGCGAGCACCCCAGAAGGGGAUAAGCAUAGCAAGCCAUGUCCCUGAUGUGUCCCUGAUGAUCACGCUGUUUGCAUGGCUGUGUUCAUUCAGUGAACUGAAUAUCAUGUAAGGAUGCACUUAGGGAAAAUUCAGUGCUGGGUAAAAAUCUGCCGGCAGCUAAGAUACCGUCUGAUUCUUAACGGAAAAUAAUCAAUUAUUCAUAGGAAAUAGGAAAUGCCUACUUUUUCCACGAGCCUUAUUUCUGGCAGGGCCCUGCAGAGCCCCCUUUGACCACCAGAGGUCAGAAGCAAAACAUCGCAGCCCCACCACUGAGCCCUGAUUUCCUCAAUCGCUGUCCUGGAGAGGGAGAAGCAGAAGAAUCAGCAAAAAUACCGCUUCAUUCACAGUGAGGAGGAUGGAGACAGUAAUACGAAGGACCCCAGGCGAUGAAGACGGAAGGUGGCAAGGAAUGCACACAGAGCCUAAAAGCCCCAUCAAAACCUGUGUGGAUAUUCAAAAAAGGAACUUGCAGCUUUCCUGAAAUUGUGCUUUUACCAUUUGCAAACACAUUUCUGGAAUACUAAAAAAGCAUCUGAGCAUAAUGAGCAAACAACAGAGUGAAUUUUCCCAGCCAUAAAGCCUGGAUCAGCUCAUGGGCAAGAAAUAGGACCACGUGAUCUCACUGACCAGCCGUAAGGCAGGAAAAUCGGAAAGGCUGCAGAAAGCUCAGGGUGGAAAUCGGCUCAGAUAUAUCCACACUGUAAAUCUUUAAACAGUUGUUUAAGCCAAGAGCUGUAAACUCUGUGCAGGUCAUUUGUAGAAGGAAAUGUGCUUUAUCGGACAAAUUACUCAUGGCAUAACUUGACCUCCUCUCUUUGCCUCUUGGAGCACAGUUGUGGGCUGUGUGUGUUGGAAAAGAAAGGACUAGGGAUGGCAAAACAAUAUGAUCUUUUUUUUUUUUUAUAAUUCAGAAAACGUCAAACCAAGCAACUGUGCUGCAGAGAAAGCACCCUGGCUCUGCUGCAAAGCACCGACAUGUUCUGGCUGGAGCUCCGUGCACUGUCACUUACUGGUGGCCAGGAUUAGUCAUCUCCUGUGAGGAACACACGAGAAAUGGUGUUAGACAAAAAAAGAAUGACACUAAUGAGCCAGAAUGUCCCAAUUCCCUCUGCAGUUUUACAGCUCUAUAACACACAUGCUUUCACUAUGAGUAUAGAGGAAUAAUUAUAUUCAUAUUUUGCAGAAACAGUUGCUCUAAGAAAGUUCCAUAGCCUGUUUUUACUGAGACAUAAGGCUCUUGAAUAAAAUUAGGUUUAUUUCUCAAAA